rnacentral:rRNA from 1 species
GACGAACGCUGACGGCGUGCUUAACACAUGCAAGUCGAAGGGAGGGGCGAAAGGGUGAGUAACACGUGAGUAACCUGCCCUUUUCUUUGGGAUAAGCCUGGGAAACUGGGUCUAAUAAUGGAUGGAAUGGGAUGGGCUCGCGGCUUAUCAGCUUGUUGGUGGGGUGAGGGCUUACCAAGGCUUUGACGGGUAGCCGGCCUGCGAGGGUGGUCGGUCACACUGGGACUGAGAUACUGCCCAGACUCCUCAGGGAGGCAGCUGGGGGGGAUAUUGCACAAUGGACGAAAGUCUGAUGCAGCGACGUCGUGUGGGGGAUGAAGGCCUUCGGGUUGUAAACUCCUUUCGCCCGCGGAAGGGUGGUGGGUAAAGAAGCGCCGGCGAACGCCGUGCCAGCAGCCGCGGGGGUUC